AUGGGGGACUUCAACCACCCCGAUAUCUGCUGGAAAGACAACACAGCUAGGCACAAACAGUCCCGGAGGUUCCUGCAGAGCACUGGUGACAACUUCUUGACACAGGUGGUGGAGGAGCCAACAAGGAGAGGUGUGCUGCUGGACCUCGUACUAACAAACAAAGAAGGACUGGUGGAAGAUGUGAAGGUCGGGGGCAGCCUUGGCUGCAGUGACCAUGAGAUGGUGGAGUUCAGGAUCCUGCGAGGAGGCAGCAGGGCACCAAGUAGGAUYGCAACCCUGGACUUCAGGAGAGCAAACUUUGUCCUCUUCAGGGACCUACUUGGAGGAAUCCCAUGGGUGAGGGCCCUAGAAGGAAGGGGCGUUCAAGAGAGCUGGUUAAUAUUCAAACAUCACCUCCUCCAGGCUCAAGAGCGGUGCAUCCCUAUGAGUAGGAAGUCAAGCAAAGGAGGCAGGAGACCUGCAUGGAUGAGCAAGGAGCUCCUGGCAAAACUCAACCAGAAGAAGGAAGUAUACAGAAAGCGGAAAGGGGCACAGGCCACUGGGGAGGAAUAUAGGAACGUUGUCAGAGUAUGCAGGGAUGCGACAAGGAAGGCUAAGGCCCAUUUGGAAUUAAAUCUGGCGAGAGAUGUCAAGGACAGCAAGAAGGGCUUCUUCAAAUACAUCAGCAGCAAGAGGAAGACUAGGGAAAAUGUGGGCCCUUUGCUGAAUGGGGUGGGUGCCCUGGUGAUGAAGGAUGCAGAGAAGGCAGAGUUACUGAAUGCCGCCUUUGCUUCAGUCUUUACUGCUCAGGCCAGCCCUCGGGAACCCCAGAUCCUGGAGGCAAGAGAGAAAGUCUGGAGAGAGGAAGACUUUCCCUUGGUGGAGGAGGAUCGGGUUAGAGAUCAUUUAAGCAAACCUGACACCCACAAAUCCAUGGGCCCUGAUGGGAUGCACCCACGAGUGCUGAGGGAGCUGGCGGAUGUCAUUGCUAAGCCACUCUCCAUCAUCUUUGAAAGGUCCUGGAGAACAGGAGAGGUGCCUGAAGACUGGAAGAGAGCCAGUGUCACCCCAGUCUUCAAAAAGGGCAAGAAGGAGGACCCAGGGAACUACAGGCCAGUCAGCCUCACCGCCAUCCCUGGAAAGGUGAUGGAGCAGCUCAUCCUGGAGGCCAUCUCCAAGCGUGUGAAGGACAAGAAGGUGAUCAGGAGUAGUCAGCACGGCUUCACCAAGGGGAAAUCAUGCCUAACCAAUCUGAUAGCCUUCUCUGAUGGAAUGACUGGCUGA
ensembl:lncRNA